GUCCAUUUUGUCAAGCUUGUCAGUAAUACGACCCAAGGAGGUCAGGUGAUCCUAGGAAUGGUCCAAGACCUGAGGGAUGAAGGGCUCUCAUUGUCGCCACCCUGGGAUGGAGUGACUGAUCUAGCCGGUGUACAAGGGAUAGACAGUUCUUCCCCACCUUCUGGUAGUUGUGACAUGCUAUAAAACAAAAUAGAAGGUUACCUGGGGUAAUACCCAACUGGCUGACGUAACUAAUGCCAAGCGGCGAAACAAUUAGGUAGUUACGUGACAGGUUGCCAAGCGGCUGCG